GCUGACGUAGCUCAGUAGGCAGAGCACUUCAUUGGUAAUGAAGAGGUCGGCGGUUCGACUCCGCUCGUUAGCUCCA
rnacentral:tRNA from 8 species